rnacentral:rRNA from 1 species
UGGUGGGUAGUUUGACUGGGGCGGUCUCCUCCUAAAGAGUAACGGAGGAGCACGAAGGUUGGCUAAUCCUGGUCGGACAUCAGGAGGUUAGUGCAAUGGCAUAAGCCAGCUUGACUGCGAGCGUGACGGCGCGAGCAGGUGCGAAAGCAGGUCAUAGUGAUCCGGUGGUUCUGAAUGGAAGGGCCAUCGCUCAACGGAUAAAAGGUACUCCGGGGAUAACAGGCUGAUACCGCCCAAGAGUUCAUAUCGACGGCGGUGUUUGGCACCUCGAUGUCGGCUCAUCACAUCCUGGGGCUGAAGUAGGUCCCAAGGGUAUGGCUGUUCGCCAUUUAAAGUGGUACGCGAGCUGGGUUUAGAACGUCGUGAGACAGUUCGGUCCCUAUCUGCCGUGGGCGCUGGAGAACUGAGGGGGGCUGCUCCUAGUACGAGAGGACCGGAGUGGACGCAUCACUGGUGUUCGGGUUGUCAUGCCAAUGGCACUGCCCGGUAGCUAAAUGCGGAAGAGAUAAGUGCUGAAAGCAUCUAAGUACGAAACUUGCCCCGAGAUGAGUUCUCCCUGACUCCUUGAGAGUCCUGAAGGAACGUUGAAGACGACGACGUUGAUAGGCCGGGUGUGUAAGCGCAGCGAUGCGUUGAGCUAACCGGUACUAAUGAACCGUGAGGCUUAACCUUACAAC